AUUGUGAUGUUAUAAGUAUUUUGCUCUUGCAGAGCUGAUACCCUGCAGUGACCUACAUGUGACACACAGCUCCUCCAGAGGGUGUCCUGUAUACAACCAAGCAAUUUCCCUGGCCAGAUCUUGAUUUUUAAGCCUGGCACCUCAUCUGCCCAAAGUACAGCUACCACUGGCUUUCAGUGGUGACAUCCACCUCUUCAAAGACUGCUUGAAUGAAGUGCCCUGCAUCACCUGGGACAAAGUGAAGUUGCGGUGCCCCUGCCUUUGGGGAAUCUGCUGAAGCAGAACUCACGUGUCUCAGGGAUGCUGAAAGGAU
rnacentral:lncRNA from 1 species